rnacentral:rRNA from 1 species
UAGGUGGCGAGCGUUGUCCGGAAUGACUGGGCGUAAAGGGAGCGUAGGUGGCGAUUUAAGUUAGAUGUGAAAGCCCGUGGCUCAACCACGGAACUGCAUUUAAAACUGGAUUGCUAGAGUACAGGAGGGGUAAGCGGAAUUUCUAGUGUAGCGGUGGAAUGCUUAGAUAUUAGGAAGAACACCAGAGGCGAAGGCGGCUUACUGGACUGCAACUGACACUGAGGCUCGAAAGCGUGGGGAGCAAA